GUAGCACAGGGGUAGUGCAACUCAUUCGUAAUGAGUAGGUCGGGGGUUCAAAUCCCUCC
rnacentral:tRNA from 1 species